UGUUUGAUCCUGACAGUGUUUUAUGCUUGACCUGGAGAUUAAGCCAUUCAUGUCUAAGUAUAAGUUAUAUACAGCGAAACUGCGAAUGGCUCAUUAUAACAGUCAUAAUUUAUUUGAUGGUUUAUUUACAUGGAUAACCAUGGGAAACUAUGGCUAAUACAUGCGUAAAACCCUCGCGGGUUGUAUUUAUUAGUUUUAAAUCAAUACAGUCUAUCUGUAUUAGAGGAAUCAUAGUAACUAAUCGGAGCACAAUACCAAGUGCUAUAUCAUUCAAGUUUCUGCCCUAUCAGCUCGUUUGUAGUGUAUUGGACUACAAUGGCAUUGACGGGUAACGGAGAAUCAGGGUUCGAUUCCGGAGAAGGGAGCAUGAGAGACGGCUACUAUUACUACGGUAGGCAGAAGGCGCGUAAAUUACCCAAUCCUGACACAGGGAGGUAGUUAAUGGACAUAACAAUUCCGGCCUUUUUAGGUUCUGGAAAGGUAAUGAAUACAAUUUAAAAAAUUGUAUGAAAUCUACUCGUGAGCAAGUGAAUGCCAGCAGUCGCGGUAAUUUUCACACAAGUAGCGUAAUUCAUAGUUGCUGCAAUUAAAAAGCUCGUAGUUGAAUGACCGGCGCUUCUCGCGUCUGCUUUCUACUUUUAUCGAUGCCGUCAGGUUUUGAUAAAAGUAAAAGCUUUUACUGUGACCAAAAUAGAGUGCUCAAGGCAAGCUUUAGCUUGAAUAAUUUAGCAUGGAAUAAUAAAAUACGACUUUUUUCAUUUUAUUGGUUAUUGAAUAAAGUAAUGAUUAACAGAAACAGUUGGGGGCAUUUGUACUUGGCUGUCAGAGGUGAAAUUCUUAGAUUAGUCAAAGACAAACUAAAGCGAAAGCAUUUGUCAAGAAUGUUUUCAUUAAUCAAGAACGAAAGUUAGGGGAUAAAAGAUGAUCAGAUACCGUCGUAUUCCUAACUAUAAACUAUACCGACUAGGGAUUGGUAAAGUAAACCUUUAUCAGCACCUAAUGAGAAAUCAAAGUCUUCGGGUUUUGGGGGGAGUAUGGUCGCAAGGCUGAAACUUAAAGGAAUUGACGGAAGGGCACACCAGGAGUGGAUUCUACGGCUUAAUUUGAUUCAACACGGGAAAACUUACUUGGGGGUAAAAUUGAAAGGAUUGACAGCUUGAUAGCACUUUCUUGAUUCGAUAGCGAGUGGUGCAUGGCCGUUCUUAGUUGGUGGAGUGAUCUGUCAGGUUAAUUCCCUAAACGAACGAGACCUCAAUCUGCUAAAUAGGCAUUGUUAAAACCUAGCAAUAGCCUUCUUAGAGAGACUACUGGAGUAAUUCAGUGGAAGUUUGAGGCAAUAACAGGUCCGUAAUGCCCUUAGAGCUCCAAGGCGGCACGUGUAAUACACUGGUGCUUUCAAUGAGUCCCUAAUUCGAAGGAAGAUGGGUAAUCUUUAUAAUGAGCACCGUGCUCGGGAUAGAACUUUGCAAUUGUAGUUCUUGAACAAGGAAUUCCUAGUAAGCGUGAGUCAUCAACCCACGCUGAAUACGUAAUUGCCCUUUGUACACACCGCCCGCCACUUCUACCGAUUGAGUCGUUCGGCGAGUUCUUUGGAUCGGAC
rnacentral:rRNA from 1 species